AGUGAACGCUGGCGGUAGGCCUAACACAUGCAAGUCGAACGGCAGCACAGUAAGAGCUUGCUCUUACGGGUGGCGAGUGGCGGACGGGUGAGGAAUACAUCGGAAUCUACUUUUUCGUGGGGGAUAACGUAGGGAAACUUACGCUAAUACCGCAUACGACCUACGGGUGAAAGCAGGGGAUCUUCGGACCUUGCGCGAUUGAAUGAGCCGAUGUCGGAUUAGCUAGUUGGGGGGGUAAAGGCCCACCAAGGCGCCGAUCCGUAGCUGGUCUGAGAGGAUGAUCAGCCACACUGGAGCUGAGACACGGUCCAGACGCCUACGGGAGGCAGCAGUGGGGAAUAUUGGACAAUGGGCGCAAGCCUGAUCCAGCCAUACCGCGUGUGUGAAGAAGGCCUUCGGGUUGUAAAGCCCUUUUGUUGGGAAAGAAAAGCAGCAGGUUAAUACCCCGCUGUUCUGACGGUACCCAAAGAAUAAGCACCGGCUAACUUCGUG
rnacentral:rRNA from 1 species